AAUACCCUCAUGUCAUUGCCUUCAGCGGGGCCAGUGACGAAGAGUUUUUCGAAGAAGCCGAGUCCCCAGGGAAGGGACCAGGAGGCUCUGCCUGCACGGUCACAGCUCAGGCACAGCCCAGGGACCCCAGGGCUGCAGGCCCCUCAGCGGCUGCCCUUCCUCGUGGCUCCUGCUCUGAGUUCCUCAGCAGCCACCAGGAGAGGCCACCUGGAUGGCAGCGUGCGGACUUCUACUACUCCAGGCCCGGUCAGCGGCGGUGGUAGCAGGCUGCCCACGGCCGGGUGUCUGGUUGGCCCCGACUUCUGGUCCACUCCGUGGCGUGUGGCACAGGGAGCAAAGGGCAGCUGUGACCGCCCGCACCUGCGACGUCCACGGCCAGUGAGGGGGGUCUGCAGGCUUCUCGGUGCGAGUCAACACCCAAGCUUCAGGGGCUCCCUGGCUCAGGUCCCUCCCAGGAGUGCGUGAGAUAACAUCUUGAUGAGUUCCUGUUCUCCUGUGCAAGAAAUAAACAUCUCUAAGUUUCACCAUGGGCUACUAUAAUACAAUAUUUGUUGUGAUCUGAUUUUAACAAAGUAUGCAUAAGCAAAAAUGGCUCAAAUAAACACACAAUGCAAAUGAAGCUGAGCACUGAAAUGAGAACUCAGGUCCUGACAUUUACAGUCUCCUUAAGUUUCUACACUGAUCGUCCUGGAAGUCAUUCUUGGUGACGGGAUUUUAUGGAGCAAGUCUCACAAAACCUGGAUCCACUUUUGAGUAGAACACCCAACCACCAUGAAGGCAAGGAGAUAAGGAACUGGGUCUAGCUAAGAAGACGCUUAGUAGAGAGUGGAACUUAAAAAUGACACUUAGCAGGUAACAAAGAGGCUGGCCCCUUAGGGGAAGGGGCAGCUCAGCAUUCCAGGCAAAGGAAAG
rnacentral:lncRNA from 1 species